CUGUUCAUCUUUUAUUAAUAUGUUGUCUUUCUCAUUUCAGUCACAGCAUAUUCACUGAUUUCAUUAUGGGAAUGGUCGAUCAUGACAAGAAUAAUCUUUUACACAGAAAUAGAUUGUUUUAACAAAAUGGUGCAUUUCCCCCAAUUUUAUUUUUAGACUAGAAUGACUUAAUUAGUUUGGAUUUUCCCUUCUUCUAUUCCAGUGGUUCUUGUGAUUAAGACAUUCAGUUAAAAAUUACUAUGACUCAUCAAACAUACCCAUACUGGAAUGGUUAUUGACUUCUCAAACAUAGCUAGAGCUCUGUUUGGAUUAAAUUAUGAUCUUCUUAACUUAUAAUUAACUUAGUAGAAAAUGCACUUUAUCAGGAAAGAUCCCUCAAGGAAUAUUUAAAUAAAAGUUUAUGCAACCAAUAGAACAGAUUUGGUGGUCAGAUGCCAUGUUACUGUUCUGAAACAAGUUAUAACUCCUACACUCAAGUAUUAUCACUCAUUAAAAAUUCAGUCUACACCCUGGCUGAAAGCACUCUACCAAUAACAUAACAAUGCAGAUUGAAUGGGCAUGCCCAAGUGUUACCACUUGGGAAUUAUUAUCCAGAUGUCCUACAAAACAAAGUCUGGAUGGAUACAGCAGUGUCUGUUUUAAAUCAGGAACUACACUUCCUACAUUUUAGCUGAAAACAGCUAAAAUCUCACAAUUGCAGCCCUGUUAUAAAACUGUUAAACAGGCACAAGUUACUGGCUGAGUGUCCAGUUUUGCCCUCCUGGAGCAAUGGAUCUUUCUAGGGUUGGAUAUCCUGCAAGACCAAACCUCAAGGCAAGACAGGAUUCAGGCAAGAGAAACAGUGAGAACACAGGAAAAGAGAUUACAAAUUUCUUUUAACAUUUAAUUCACACUUUUAACAUUUAAUCUUCUGUUAACAGCCCAUGUGUGUAUGAAUCAUUGUAUUUAAAGAGUGAGAGUUUGUGGCGCUCUCACAAUUACAAACCUUUAGUCCGAUAAAGGGACCCUGCUUGGCUACUUACUGCAUACUCCAAUAUAUCUUCCAUACCCACCAGCCCUGUACAGAUGCCUCAGGGCAUCUCAGAUGGUUUUAGUUACCUGUGUGAUUACAGUCAGUGCUCAGAUGCAAACACAUGUUUCUAUUCCAUCAGACUCAAAAUAUAAUAAUAAUUUGAUGUAAUUCCCUUUCUCAAAACUGAUUUUUAUUAUUAUUCUUUUUUAUUUUUUUAUAGAUCCACAGCCUAAUAAAAUCCAAGUUAAGGUCUAUCCUUUGGAGCCUGCAGCGAAAUCUUAGAUGGGUUGCAGUGAAUUUUACACCAAGUACAUUUGAACAGUCACCUGGGAAUUCACAAACAAGGUGCGACUCAAAAAGCAAUAAGGGGAAGGGCCAAAAUGUUUGCCAUGGGUAAAAUCUAAUAACAGGGGGUCAGUAAUACUUUGGGAAAAAUAAAAUGGCUUGUCCCUGAGGCAGUGAAAGCAUCAGACAGCACCAGAACUAGUUUGUAAUGCACCAGCUCCAAAUGAACACAGUUGUGUCUCAGAUUUGAUAAGCAAAGUGUAGGAGCACCCACUGCAGUUGUAGAUUGAACCAUCACACUAGUUGCAGGGUUGCUACUAUGGAGCUACCAUAAAAGCCUGGUCCAAACUGACGGUGCUGCAGGUUUAACCGCCUUCAAGUACUGUGAAUUAUCUGUGUGAUGAGGAUCAAACAGUUACAGUGCUAUAGAUAAGUACGUCUAAAUCCAGCUAGGAAGUUUCUGAUACUCAGUGAUCUGUAUUAUGCCUUCCCAUGAGGGUCCACAUGCAAUCCUCACAGCAGGAGCUUAGAGACUAAUUUACCCUGUCCCCCACAGAGAAAACCUUCUUUAAAAACAGGGCUGAAACACACCAGUGAAACUCUUCUCUGAUUCAUGUAGAUUUAAGUCUGAUUCCUGGAGACUAUCAGUCUCUAAUAGUAUUCACUCAGCAGCACCAACUUCAC
ensembl:lncRNA